GACGAACGCUGGCGGCGUGCUCAACACAUGCAAGUCGAGCGGUAAGGCCCUUUCGGGGGUACACGAGCGGCGAACGGGUGAGUAACACGUGGGUGACCUGCCCUCAGCUCUGGGAUAAGCCUGGGAAACCGGGUCUAAUACUGGAUAUGACUCCAUGACGCAUGUUGUGGGGUGGAAAGCCUUGUGCGGCUGAGGAUGGGCCCGCGGCCUAUCAGCUUGUUGGUGGGGNGAUGGCCUACCAAGGCGACGACGGGUAGCCGGCCUGAGAGGGCGACCGGCCACACUGGGACUGAGACACGGCCCAGACUCCUACGGGAGGCAGCAGUGGGGAAUUGUUCGCAAUGGGCGCAAGCCUGACGACGCAACGCCGCGUGGAGGACGAAGAUCUUCGGGUCGUAAACUCCUGUCGAGCGGGACGAACGCUUCGCGAUGAAUACUCCGCGGAAUUGACGGUACCGCUAAAGGAAG
rnacentral:rRNA from 1 species